UAAAUUACAGGCCUCUCUCAUCUUUUUAAGUGGGAUAACUUGCACAAUUGGUGGCUGACUAAAUACUUUUUUGCCCCACUGUACUUGGAGGCACAAUCAGACUCAACUGAAGGUUUUGAGGGAUAUCCAGGGAUCUGGAUGUCAUCCCUGAAGAUGGAAUACAUUGCCUCAUGGACACGGUCUAUGAUAACCUACUGGAUGAGAAUGGUGUCCUCAGGCGGCGCUGGUGCAAAAACCUCACAGGAAGACCUUGAUUCUUCAGAAGCGAAUUCACUGCACACCUGGCUGCGCUGUCGUCUGACGAUGAGAUGCCCAGCAUUUUGGCUCAGAGUGGGAUGACACCCCAUGCCGAUUCACCAAUGGACUCAACUGCCUCCACGACCUCUCCUGACAGUGAUAUCUGAGUAAUGGUGAGUGUAUGUGGCUACAGUAUGGAGACCAAGAGGAAGAAAGACAAUUUCAUGGGUCCCAAGACUGCACAGCCUUGUGGGAAAUAAUCACUACAGGUGUAUUAUGUUUGAGUCAUGUCUUCUUUUUUAACUGUGAUGUAUAUCACUCCCCAGAUAUUAUCAUGUGUUAGCAGACAAGUUAAUCGUCUCAUAUAUUCAGGUAUCUCCUGAAACCUUGUAGACAUGUUCUACACAGGUCAACCAAAAUGUGUAUGUAAAAUAUAUUUGAAUCCCCUUUUUGUUGUGUGCCUAAUGUAAAUGAGCCCUGCUAUACUGUUCUAGAAAAGCCACACAUGUCACAAGUGCCUUUGGGCAGUGGUGGAAAAAGUACCCAGUUGUCAUACUUGAGUAAA